rnacentral:rRNA from 1 species
GGUAACGGCCUACCAAGGCAACGAUGGGUAUCCGAGCUGAGAGGCUGAUCGGACACACUGGGACUGAGAUACGGCCCAGACUCCUACGGGAGGCAGCAGGGAGGAAUAUUGGUCAAUGGGGGAAACCCUGAACCAGCAACGCCGCGUGAAGGAAGAAGGCCCUCGGGUUGUAAACUUCUGUUUUCAGGGAAGAAAGAAAUGACGGUACCUGAAGAGAAAGCUCCGGCAAACUACGUGCCAGCAGCCGCGGUAAUACGUAGGGAGCGAGCGUUGUCCGGAAUCACUGGGCGUAAAGGGCGCGUAGGCGGUUUUACAAGUUGCAUGUGAAAUACCAUGGCUCAACCAUGGGGUGUCAUGCAAAACUGUAGGGCUUGAGUGCAGUAGAGGAAAGCGGAAUUCCUGGUGUAGCGGUAAAAUGCGUAGAGAUCAGGAGGAACACCGGUGGCGAAGGCGGCUUUCUGGGCUGUAACUGACGCUGAGGCGCGAAAGCGUGGGGAGCGAACAGGAUUAGAUACCCUGGUAGUCCACGCCGUAAACGAUGAAUAUUAGGUGUAGGCCUUUAAGGUCUGUGCCGG